UACGUAGGGUGCAAGCGUUAAUCGGAAUUACUGGGCGUAAAGCGUGCGCAGGCGGUUGUGCAAGCCCGAUGUGAAAUCCCCGGGCUUAACCUGGGAAUGGCAUUGGUGACUGUACGGCUAGAGUGUGUCAGAGGGGGGUAGAAUUCCACGUGUAGCAGUGAAAUGCGUAGAGAUGUGGAGGAAUACCGAUGGCGAAGGCAGCCCCCUGGGAUAACACUGACGCUCAUGCACGAAAGCGUGGGGAGCAAACAGG
rnacentral:rRNA from 1 species